GAGGUGAGAGAGGGAAAGGAGGAGGGCAGUGUGGGAAAGGGAGAGUGAGGAAAGAGGAAGGGGGAAACGUGGAGAAGGAGGAGGGGCUCCGAGGAAGAGGAAGGGGCCGGAAAGGGGGAAGGACAGCGAAGGGGAGAUGAAGGCGGUGAGGCUGCUGGAACUGCAGGACCCCCAGCAAAAGCUUCACGGGGUCUCUGCAGGCGAUCCUGGAGAGGAUAUGUUUAAAUUUAUCAUUUAUGCAACUAUAUGGUACUUCCGCCUCAAGGAAUUUGCCACCAUUUAACGAUGAUCAUUAAUCAUAUACCCCAGGGAGGAGGAGUCGCAUAAAUGGACAAUGAGACAAAAGCAUACCACGGCAGAUACACUCGAUUAAAAUCAAAUCACACGCUCCCAUGGAUGCAACCAAUAUUUACCUUAUCUGACAGUAAUUAGCUAAACAGUCUGGAACGAAAACCCAUUAUUAGUUGAACACAGCUCGCGGAUUGCAAAGAUCCCCUCCUCACACCAGGAGAUGCAAAUACCCCGCAUGCUCUGGAAACUGGAUCCUCGUUGGAACUGGAGUCCCAAGAGCCGGUGCAUUCAGCUACAAAACUAGGUGGGAAGCCAUCAGUGACACCACUAACUUAAUUGCUAAAAUUGCUAAAGGGACCUGCAAGUGCAGAGGCGCAAGAGAGGCCCUGGGGCCAGGGGACCGAGGAGUGCGUCUUCGUGGGAGGUGCUCCUUGAACACCGCCUCGGAGAACAGACCAGGGCAGAAAGACAUCCCAGGCGGAGAGGGCGGCUUGCUCUGAGGCCUCAGGUAGCAAUGGACAAGACGUCCUUUCAUCCGAAGACAACAACGGUGGAUCCUGCGCCUGGUGCAACUCGCCGGAAAACUUUCCCGGCUCCACACUUCUGGGGAGGGUGGGUAAUCUUCCCGGGAGUUGAUUCUCAGCCACCAAAGCCCCCACCCCCGAACUAGCUCUGAUCAGGAAGGUGCAGCCAG